UCCAAUGAAUUUUAGAAGCUCGUUAUACCUAAUAAAACAUAUAUGAAUUUCCUAUACAUUUCAUCAUUCUGAAGUUAGAACACACGUUGGCGUGCCUGAGUCGUGAUCCGCAUCAAUCUCUGUUAAUUUGUUUGGGAAACAUAAACCCAGAAAAACGAUUGUUCGUGUUUUGUGCCAGUAGUAAUUAUUCGCCGGAGGAUUUUACCAGCUGAGUGGCAGCAAAGAUAACUUUUCAUCGCUGUGAUAUAAGCAAACAUUUACGAACGUAAAACAAGGUAAAAUAAGGGACAGCAGCGGAGGAAAACAGAUUCGAACUUUAGCGAGAAUGCGCACGGUUCCAUUCUUCGCCAUGCACAGGAAACAUAAAUCCACCCGAACAAUAGCACCCAAUCCGCUGAAUCUGGAUCUAUGUACCAGCCAGGAUAAACAUGCAUCAGGCAUGAAACUGCGUCCCACCAUUCAGAACAAGUGUUUGAAGUUCAGUGCAGUGUAACUUUUUUAAUAUCUUGAUUUGUUAUAAUAAAUGUCUGAAUCAUAUAAUUUUGGUUAAAUUUGUUUAUUUGGAUAAAUAAGAUGAGAAAUAGAAAUUAAAUUACAGGCAUAUUUGAUUUCAAUGAUGGAACCAUUCAUUACACUAGUUUAAAUAAUAAAUCGUAAUAAUUUUCCUAU